rnacentral:rRNA from 1 species
UACGUAGGGGGGCAAGCGUUGUCCGGAUUUAUUGGGCGUAAAGCGCUCGCAGGUGGUCCGUCGCGUCGUGCGUGAAAGACCCCGGCUCAACUGGGGAGGGUCGUGCGAUACGGGCGGACUGGAGGCCAGUAGGGGGAUGCGGAAUUCCGGGGUGUAGUGGUGGAAUGCGUAGAGAUCGGCAGGAACACCCAGGGGGAAACCAGUCGACUGGGCAGCACCUGACGCUGAGGUGCGAGAGCGUGGGGAGCGAACCGGAUUGAGAGUACCCC